CAGGAGACAGAAGCAGGAGAAUCAGGUGUUCAAGGUCAACCUCAGCUACAUAGAGAUUUUGAGACCAGCCUGGGCUGUGUGAGACCCUAUCUCACAAAACUAAAAAUGCAAAUCUGAAAUAGCUUCAAUAAGAGAACUUGUUUUUGUGUGUUAUUUUGUGUAGAUUUUAAAUAUAGUCAGGAUAAUCUUAAUUGCCUAACCAAAGUAACUUUAAGAGUUGUGUUUGCUUUAAUACUCAUCUCGAGAACUCAAGCUAAUUCGCAUGUUCUAGUGCUGUAAUAAAAUAAUCUAUGAUCAUGAUUUUUUUCUUACUAAUCAUUAGGAUUUUUUUUUGAAUGAAAUUAAAUCUUAUUUUUCUUUUGCUCUGGCUAAAGUAUUAAAUUUAAAAGGUAUUAAGACCACAUAAUUUUUUGUUACACCAGGAAUUCUCAGCCUCUUUAGAAACAUCCCUGAAUUAAAAAAAAAAAAAAAUCCAUGAAUUCCUGGCAAACUCCUGAAUAGAUCAAUGUACUUACCAGGAAAAUAGAAUCUAGGGCCCCCUUUAAUUUAUGGGUGAAUGACCUUAAAGGAUUAGGUAGAAAGGAGGGUGCAAUCAAAUUAACAUUUUUGGCAAAUAUGUGCUAUGGGUCCCAUCCCGCCUUAUCCCCCAUCUUCUUUCCUGGGCUUAGCAGACACAGCAGAAGACAAAGCGAAUGGGGACCCCCCUCCUGCUUGGGGCAGGUGAGCCAUCUGAAAUGAGUACCCUCGGGCACUCAAGCAGAAGCCUAGGCUGGAGUUACACCAGUGAAUUGAGAACUAGAGAUUUAAGCACUGAGCCGGCUGUGGACAGGGUUUAAUUGGCUCAUCGCUUGGCAAAGGUUGAGAAUCCCUGGUUGAGACUAAUUAAGUAGAAAGAGAUUUAAAGUCUUACGUAAUGUUAAACCCUUUCCUGCCUAGGAAGAAAACGCUGCCCCUGUGCUAGAUAGACAGCGGUUCAGAAGAUCCAGUUUAAACUGAGGCACCAAGGGCUCUAGAACCUUAGUAUCUGCCCAUAGACCAAGCAACGCUUCCUUCUCACUCCUGACAGUUCCGUUAAUAGUCCCAGCUGGCUUCCUCACCAUAUAUAAGGGGUGAAGAAGACACGGCCACCACUCUAGCCCUGCCAUGCAUUCAGCCAGAGAAGAAAUGUGUCACCUUAACCAGAUUUAUCUGUUCUCUGUAAUUGUAGGAUUUAAGUUAGUUUUUAAUGAAGUGUUACUUCUAUGAGAUUUUAGGCAAAAGCCCAAUGUAUAGCAAAAAAUAUGUAAAUAAUCCAGCCUCUCCUCUCCUGUCCUGUAGCAUACUUUUGGUCAGAUACCUAAUAAAACAUAGAUAUUUUCAAAAUUGUCACAGUUCUUUAUGCCUGCAAGUUGUAUUUCUUAGACGUUUUAGAAGGCAUGCUGUUUUUACUUAAUGC
rnacentral:lncRNA from 1 species